ensembl:lncRNA
GGGUGAUGUCACGGGUUUCGCUUCUUCGAAGGAGAUAGACGUGGUGCCUGGGUUUUAAGCGCUUGCCUUCUGUUGCUGCCUUGUGCUAGGGCGUAGGGAACUCUACCCAGAUUGCCAGCCUUUGUGCAGGUGUGGAAAGUGUUUCUUAGUUGUCAGCAGCAUUCCCAACGUUGCUCACCUUCCUCUGAGGUGUGGGUUCACCUCUGGCCGAGCCAGCGCCGACGCGCGAAGCAGAGCUUUUGUGGUAGUAACUACGAACGAUAUAUCGUGAAGUCGCUCAGUCGUGUCCGAGCUCUUUGUGACCCCAUGGACUGUAGCCCGCCAGGCUCCUCCAUCCAUGGAAUUUUCUAGGCAAGAGUACUGGAGUGGGUUGCCAUUUCCUUAUAAUAGCUCCCAAUUAGGGGGCAGUGACUGUGCUGAAAACAUACAAAUAUGAGGUCCAAAGAGAUUAAGUUACGUGCUCGAGGCCAAACAGACGUGGCUGAAUGAAUGACAGAAGACAGAAUAGUCAAUGAGUAAAAGGAAAUGAGAAAUGCAGUUUCUUUGAAAACCACAUGAAAAAUAUUUCAAGGGACAAAUUUUGUGUUAAAUAUAAUUAAGUGAUUAACUGAAGAAAAAAAAAAAAACAACUCUUGAAGUUUCAAAGAAGAAAUUGAGAAUUCUCUCGUCACGGCAAAGGAUUUGUUUGCAUCUACUUUCCCGUCUCCUACAACUAGAAUGUUUACUGAGUGUCUAAUAAUAAGCCAUACUGUUUUCCCCUGGCUUACAGUGAGGAAAAAACAAAACUUUUUUUCUAAAAGAAGGAUGAAUUUUGCAGUCGUUUGAAAUUUAUAUUCUUGUCCUCCCCUUUCCCAAGGCAGCAAGCAUUUGCCGAGGUGACUGGAUACCUGAUGUGGUCAUGUAUGGAUGUGAGAGUUGGACUGUGAAGAGAGCUGAGCACUGAAGAAUUGAUGCUUUUGAACUGUGGUGUUGGAGAAGACUGUUGAGAGUCCCUUGGACUGCAAGGAGAUCCAACCAGUCCAUUCUGAAGGAGAUCAGCCCUGGGAUUUCUUUGGAAGGAAUGAUGCUAAAGCUGAAACUCCAGUACUUUGGCCACCUCAUGCGAACAGUUGACUCAUUGGAAAAGACUCUGAUGCUGGGAGGGAUUGGAGGCAGGAGGAGAAGGGGACGAAAGAGGAUGAGAUGGUUGGAUGCCAUCACCGACUCGAUAGACGUGAGCCCGAGUGAACUCCGGGAGAUGAUGAUGGACAGGGAGGCCUGGCGUGCUGCGAUUCAUGGGGUCACAAAGAGUCGGACAUGACUGAGCGACUGAACUGAAGUGAAUGAGGAAGGCAGAACAAGUAGAUUAUAUAUAUGCCUUAUACAUAUCUAGUAUUUGUAUGUUUAUAUAUAUGAUUUAUUACAGGAAACUAACUGGCUUAUGCAACUUAGGGGGCUAGUGAAUCAAGUCCAAGAUCUGUAGGGAUAGGCUAUCAGGAAGGGGAGAGCCAGAGAGGGGAGAGUGAUGGUAGACCAAGCUGCUGUUUGGAGUCUAACUCAGGGCAUGUCUAAAACUUUUAAAAAGUUCUUCCACUGAUUGAAUGAAGCCCUCAUAAUCUCCGUAGUGUAACAUCAGGGCCUUGAAUUACAUCUGGAAAAUCUCUUCAUCACAGCAGUAGAUUAGUGUUUGAAUAACUGGAUGAAGGUGUGUGCAGAAUAUAAAAAGCUACUGUCCUCCUUUCAGUCCCUAACCAGAUUGACAUGUUUAAAAACCAUCACAGAGGGGACUUUCUUGAUGGUCCGAUGGCUAA